rnacentral:lncRNA from 1 species
UCUAGAUCUACAAUGUCAAGUAUUAUGUUGCAGAUGUUAAUAUGUUUUAAUAUAAACUUGAUCAAACUUAUUUUGAAACGGAGCGAGUGAUAGAGAAUGUUUACUUAGUCCCAUCAGCUGCAUCGAGAAGUCGUCGACAAUGACGAGUUGUGAUGGUUACGUGUGACUAGUGCAAAUUCAUUGGGCAGAUGAGAUAUUUUCUUUUUCUGAAAUUGAGGCAUAAGGUUUGCCUCAUCUAUUAAUUAAGAAGGGG